GGGUAAAUUCUAAGUUUUAAAGGAUUUGUAAGAAAUGUUUGAGGAAACUGACUUAGUGUUAAACAGUAAUUCAAUUCCCUCAAACAAUUCUUACAAAUCCUUCAAAACUUAGAAUUUA